AGUCAGUCUGGGUUUCUUAAUCUCUCCUGAAGGACUCUUCAUGCAGAAUGAUGACUGCUCCUGCUGUUUGAUCCAUUUAGGACAAAAACAUCCGGACAGAUAAAAACUGUUGGGUUAUUACUGUGCAGAGGAGAAGGGGCACCAACAACAGGGGGCGGAGGUUCAACUGAAACUUUCUCAGGAGGACCCAGAGGAUGCUGUACGCAGAGCAGCAGAGGCAUGUGCUCUCUCGUUGUCCAUUUUUGCAAUAAGGUUUUUGACCUGUACUAAUUUAUGGAGGCAGUGGUGAACUGUGUUUGUGAAAAGAUUCUGUAUGACGGUAAUUCGUUUGUGGCUCUGCUGGGGUUUUGCUUUGAUAGUGGCCUCAGAACAGUGUGACAUUUCAUGCAAGAGUGUACAGUACAGGCCAAAAGUUUGGACACACCUUCUCAUUCAAUGCAUUUCCUUUCUUCUCAUUACUAUUUAACUAUUUAAAUUGUAGAUUAUCAGUGAAAGCAUCAAAACUAUGAAUGAACACAUGUGGAAUCAUGUGCUUAAGAAAAAAGUGUGAAAUAACUGAAAACAUGUUUUAUAUUUUAGAUUCCUUAAAGUAUCCACCUUUUGCUUUUUUGAUAGUGCUGCAAACUUUUGCUGUUCUCUCAAUGAGCUUCAUGAGGUAGUCACCUGAAAUGGUUUUUACUUCACAGGUGUGCCUUGUCAGGGUUACUUUGUGACUGAAGUACUUCUGUCAUCAAGAGCAAAGGGUGGCUACUUUAAAGAAACUAGAAUAUAAAACAUGUUUUCAGUUAUUUCACACUUUUUUUAUAAGUACAAAGUUCCACACGUGUUCAUUCAUAGUUUUCAUGCCUUCAGUGAUAAUCUACAAUGUAAAUAGUCAUAUAAAAAAAUUAAGAAAAGACAUUGAAUGAGAGGGUGUGUCCAAACUUUUGGCCUGUGCUGUAUAUAGAAUCAUAUAGAACUCAAAGUUUGUCACUCUGUGCUGACCAGGCCCUCAGGUAAAAAGUCACAGUUUUUGGCACACGUAAAGACCAACAUGUCAAGAUAAUCUUGAGCAAAAAUGAUGAUAUGUUCAAUGGUCUUAGAGUCACAACUGAUAGAGUUAAGCAUGAUAUUUCCUUCACCACUGGGUGGCGCUGUGACUGAGAUGAAAUAUUACCAUAUAAAUGUGUUCAGGCUUGGACCCUUAUCACGUGUGGUGCAUUUGGCAGAGAUUGGAGCAUGCAUGGCUGUCAUAAAAACUACUUCCUGUUUCAUGGCGAAACAGCUAUCUUUGAGGGCUUGCCAUAGCCACAUCACUGACGAGGCUUAAAGCUCAAAGCAACUUUUAAUCUUCAAUCUGUCCAUAACACACAAAUUUGGAGUUGAUUGCAUAAAAGCCCUUGGAUGAGUUAGUUUAAACAUAGACCCUGAAAAUCACUAUAAACAGGAAAAAAAAACUUCAACAUUCAACUUAAAUUUGCUGAAAAAAACCCAACAUUAUUUUGGCUGAAAGAGUAACAAUAGUUCCUUGCAUUCCAGUGGUGCACUCUCACCCUUGGGGCCUGACCUGAAAUAUCCAAGGGCUGUAGAGGACAUUGGAAAUGAAGUACCAGUCUUCCUCAGUAUUGAGCUGGCUGUCAGGAUGGAUUUAUAAAUGAUUAGGAUCAACAGCAGACAGGAAACCUCUGACACUGAAUUAGGCCCUGUAGGUCUGUGCAGCAGGAGCCUGAUGGAAGCUGGAGUGUACGAUCCUCUGCUCUCCACGGCUGGAGGUCUGGUGAUGCUGUGAAGCAGAGCUGCAGCUGCACAGCACAAGAGAGUCUGUUUUUCCCGGAUCCCCACAGACCAGACAAUUUUCUGUCCCAGAUAUGUCCCUCUGUCUGUGAGGCUCCACUUGGGUGGUAGAGAGAGAGGCCUGGAAAACAAAAUGUGUAGUACGAAAGAUUCUGUGGAAGAGCACGAUGUUGGGGAAAAGAAGAGGGG
rnacentral:lncRNA from 1 species